rnacentral:rRNA from 1 species
UUUGGCCUACGGGGGGCAGCAGUGGGGAAUUUUGGACAAUGGGCGCAAGCCUGAUCCAGCUAUUCCGCGUGUGGGAUGACGGCCCUCGGGUUGUAAACCACUUUAGUAGAGAACGAAAGCGAGCUAUCGAAUAAAUAGCUCUGCUGACGGUACUCUAAGAAUAAGCACCGGCUAACUACGUGCCAGCAGCCGCGGUAAUACGUAGGGUGCGAGCGUUAAUCGGAAUUACUGGGCGUAAAGGGCGUGCAGGCGGCUG